rnacentral:rRNA from 1 species
UACGGAGGGAGCUAGCGUUGUUCGGAAUUACUGGGCGUAAAGCGCGCGUAGGCGGCUUUGUAAGUUAGAGGUGAAAGCCCGGGGCUCAACCCCGGAACUGCCUUUAAGACUGCAUCGCUUGAAUCCGGGAGAGGUGAGAGGAAUUCCGAGUGUAGAGGUGAAAUUCGUAGAUAUUCGGAAGAACACCAGUGGCGAAGGCGGCUCACUGGACCGGCAUUGACGCUGAUGUGCGAAAGCGUGGGGAGCAAACAGG